rnacentral:rRNA from 1 species
AAAUUGAAGAGUUUGAUCAUGGCUCAGAUUGAACGCUGGCGGCAGGCCUAACACAUGCAAGUCGAGCGGAAACGAGUUAUCUGAACCUUCGGGGAACGAUAACGGCGUCGAGCGGCGGACGGGUGAGUAAUGCCUAGGAAAUUGCCCUGAUGUGGGGGAUAACCAUUGGAAACGAUGGCUAAUACCGCAUGAUGCCUACGGGCCAAAGAGGGGGACCUUCGGGCCUCUCGCGUCAGGAUAUGCCUAGGUGGGAUUAGCUAGUUGGUGAGGUAAGGGCUCACCAAGGCGACGAUCCCUAGCUGGUCUGAGAGGAUGAUCAGCCACACUGGAACUGAGACACGGUCCAGACUCCUACGGGAGGCAGCAGUGGGGAAUAUUGCACAAUGGGCGCAAGCCUGAUGCAGCCAUGCCGCGUGUGUGAAGAAGG